rnacentral:rRNA from 1 species
GACGAACGCUGGCGGCGUGCUUAACACAUGCAAGUCGAACGAUGAUGCCCAGCUUGCUGGGUGGAUUAGUGGCGAACGGGUGAGUAACACGUGAGUAACCUGCCCCUGACUCUGGGAUAGGCGUUGGAAACGACGUCUAAUACUGGAUAUGACUGCCGGCCGCAUGGUCUGGUGGUGGAAAGAUUUUUUGGUUGGGGAUGGACUCGCGGCCUAUCAGCUUGUUGGUGAGGUAAUGGCUCACCAAGGCGACGACGGGUAGCCGGCCUGAGAGGGUGACCGGCCACACUGGGACUGAGACACGGCCCAGACUCCUACGGGAGGCAGCAGUGGGGAAUAUUGCACAAUGGGCGAAAGCCUGAUGCAGCAACGCCGCGUGAGGGAUGACGGCCUUCGGGUUGCAAACCUCUUUUAGUAGGGAAGAAGCGAAAGUGACGGUACCUGCAGAAAAAGCACCGGCUAACUACGUGCCAGCCGCCGCCGUAA